AUUGAACGCUGGCGGCAGGCUUAACACAUGCAAGUCGAGCGGGGAAAAGUAGCUUGCUACUGGACCUAGCGGCGGACGGGUGAGUAAUGCUUAGGAAUCUGCCUAUUAGUGGGGGACAACAUCUCGAAAGGGAUGCUAAUACCGCAUACGUCCUACGGGAGAAAGCAGGGGAUCUUCGGACCUUGCGCUAAAUGAUGAGCCUAAGUCGGAUUAGCUAGUUGGUGAGGUAAAGGCCUACCAAGACGACGAUCUGUAGCGGGUCUGGGAUGAUGAUCCGCCGCACUGGGACUGAGACACGGCGCAGACUCCUACGGGAGGCGGCAGUGGUGAAUAUUGGACAAUGGGCGGAAGACUGAUCCAGCCAUGCCGCGUGUGUGAAGAAUGCCUUUUGGUUGUAAAGCACUGUAAGCGAGGAGGAGGCUACCUAGAUUAAUACUCUGGGAUAGUGGACGUUACUCGCAGAAUAAGCACCGGUUAACUCUGUGCCAGCAGCCGCCGUAACAC
rnacentral:rRNA from 1 species